rnacentral:ncRNA from 1 species
UUAAUAGAGGUUGCGCCGAACAAUAGUAACCUAUCCGAUGCAAGCAGGUGCAGACGAAGGCAGGAGAAAGGGUGAGGCGCCGAAAGGCAACGGCUCCUGCAGGGCGUUGUGCUUGGGUAUGGAUGGAAGACAUCCAUAACUGUCAUCGCAAGAUGGGGCGCUAUUU